rnacentral:rRNA from 1 species
UUGGACCUACGGGGGGCAGCAGUAGGGAAUUUUCGUCAAUGGGCGCAAGCCUGAACGAGCGAUGCCGCGUGAGUGAAGAAGGCCUUCGGGUCGUAAAGCUCUGUUGCGGGGGAAAAAAGGCAGCAUCAGGAAAUGGGUGCUGACUGAUGGUGCCCCGCCAGAAAGUCACGGCUAACUACGUGCCAGCAGCCGCGGUAAUACGUAGGUGGCGAGCGUUAUCCGGAAUGAUUGGGCGUAAAGGGUGCGCAGGCGGUCCUGCACGUCUGGAGUGCAACGCAUGGUCUCAACUCAUGCAU